rnacentral:sRNA from 12 species
CACCUAACCCUGUCGGCUUCGGUCGGCAGGUAUGGUGAGAAGUCCAGUAAGACAUGAAGAUCCCAUCGUGGGGUUGUCUUACUGGCCAUAUCGGGAAACCGGUAUGUCUGGCGCAAGCCGGA